GUGUCUUAAACUUAUGAGUAAGGAAAAUAACGAUUCAGGGUCAUGUCCAAAUCCUCACUGCUAAUGUGAGAUGAAUUUUUGAGCAGGUAAAGAUUGCCCCUAGGGUGACCUGCCUGCUUUGCAGGAUGCCUGUGAGUCUCAGUCUUGCUG
rnacentral:snRNA from 1 species